AGUCGUAACAAGGUUUCCGUAGGUGUCACGACCCGCCCCGGUUCGCCUACAUCGCCUCGGAGCGACUAUAAAGAAAGAUUUAGUCGGGUGCUCUUGCGUCCGGCCACGCGGCUAUUCUGCCUGGGAGCAAACCAACCUCUCUGGAGGCUCGGGUGUAACCAGCAGCCCGUACCGCGCUGGCGGUACUGGGUUCACAGAUCAAAUGCCUGCGGCCACGCCUUAGUGGUUCUAAUAUGACCGACCUUCGCCAGCAAUGGACGGUGAAGCUGCGGAACCUGCGGAAGGAUCAUUACUGAGAGACGGGGUCUCAUCGGCCCCACUCUUCACCCACGUCUACCAUACCCUGUUGCUUUGGCGGGCCUUCGGGUCUUACCACCCGGGGCUGGUCGGGGGCCUUUUGCCCCUCGCUCCGCGAGUGCCUGCCAAUGAUUUUGUCAACUCUGUUCUUAGUGUCCUCUGAGCAACCAUACAAUAGUUAAAACUUUCAACAACGGAUCUCUUGGUUCUGGCAUCGAUGAAGAACGCAGCGAAAUGCGAUAAGUAAUGUGAAUUGCAGAAUUCAGUGAAUCAUCGAAUCUUUGAACGCACAUUGCGCCCUCCGGUAUUCCGGGGGGCAUGCCUGUUCGAGCGUCAUUACAGCCCUCAAGCUCUGCUUGGUAGUGGGUAUCGCCCCUGCGGCGCACCCGAAAUAUAGUGGCGGUCCAGCGAGACUCCGGGCGCAGUAAGAUUUCAAUAUCCCGCUACGGAUGCUUCUCGAUGGGCUUGUCAGCCAAACCACGAAGUGCAAACUUCCACGAUGACCUCG
rnacentral:rRNA from 1 species